rnacentral:tRNA from 1 species
GGAUCAGUAGCUCAGCUGGAUAGAGCAUCGCCCUUCUAAGGCGACGGUCGUAGGUUCGAAUCCUACCUGAUUCA